CGGACGGGGCGGGGAUGGGCGCGGACGGGCGGCGGGGCGAGCCCGGAGCCCUGGGACGGCGGUGGCGGUGCCGUGGAUUACCUCGGUCAAAUCAAAAAAGAUCGAGUUGGAGUUGGCCGCCUAUUUUGUUUCCCGUGGGAUCCUCGAGGGAAAGCCGCGGAACCGCGGCGUGAGCGGCAGCUGAGCGUUCAUUUCCCCGCUGAUCAGAGGGAGAACGAUGCCUCCCAAGCCGGGAGAGCUCCGGGAAGGCCCGAGUUUUGCAGCGGGACCCGGGUCUGCUCCUCCCCACACCCGAAGCUGCGUGGCAGGACUCGGCUCUCGCAGGACGGGAGGUUUAGGGGCUGGAAGCGAAGGCGGCAGCCGCUGGCUGCUGCGCUGGCCGAGCCUUGCCCUUGGCGCAAAGAUCUACUGUGGUUCCAAUGGAACAAGUCCAACACCUUCAAACCAUUCUUCAGCAAGUUCCACUUCUCUGUCAGCUGUCACAAAUUCAGUGAACAAUACCACCACUCACGGACAUGGAAAUUCUCUUCACUCAACCACAAGUCUUUUUUUCAUUCUCUCCGUUUCUCUUCUGUAUUUUUGCUGUUAAGAGACUCUGGCAUGGAAAUGGCUACCACUCCCCACCCCAUUUCCUGAACCGCCCGAGAUGGCUUGAUCUCCAACCCAGCAUGAGAAGAAAUCAAUCCAAACUCCACAUCAAACCAGCUUGGUUCCACUCCAUACUCAAAUUAGUACCAGUCUGACCUAGAGAAACACUCAGUAUUCUGACUUUCAAAGCUGACCAGUGAGAAAAAAUCAGCUUCAGCAAGGAGGUAAAAUUAUGAGCUCUUUCAUCAAAUGAGUUGGAAUCUGAAAAACAAGAUGGAAACAAACAGAGACAGUACAGAGAACCCAAAUUUAAAGCUGAGAAGAAGUACAGUAUCUUAUAAUAAGGAUGGAUAAUAACACUCCAUGAAGAAAAAAGGCUAGAGAGUUUAUCUACCAUUUAGAAUAAGGACUUAAAGAGUUUUUAUUUUUUAAGUUCAAAAACAUCAACAGGCCCAUAGAAUCCCUAGAAAACACAGAAAAGCUCAAAUAAUUCUGUUUCUUGCACAGCCUGUAUGGUUAUAACUUAUGGGUAUUAGGAUGUAUGAAAAAAGUGAAAAGGGUUUCUUCUAGAUUUCAGUUGUAUUAAAUUGCUACAAGGCUAAAAUAGAAUAACAAAUUUUUUUGCAAGAAUCCUCUUAUUUAACCCCUGAUUCCUAACCAAUGGUUAGCCAGGCUGGGCUAGUUUUGAAAUAGCUAAAACCCCAUCAGUUUUCAUAAGAGUGGAAUUAUUUAUGGUGGGAAUUUGAAUUUGACAUUUUAUUUAAAUUGUUUGUAUAUUAAACCAUAUGUGCCAGAGAAAGGAGGUCUGGAAACAUUAGAAAAAGUACCAGGAGCUUUUCUGAAUUUCAUUUCCAAAAGAACAAACAAACAAGUCAAUGGAUAUGUGUCUCCUAUUUGCUUUCUUUCUCCUCCCAAGUUGUAUAAGUUUUUGCUCCUGGAACUUUCCUUAAUUAUGAAGGAUUUAUGAAAUCUUAUGAGUAAUGUUAUAAUAUUGCCUUUUUUUUUUCUUUUUUUUUUUUUUUGGCACAAGGUGAAUAACUUACUGUUUUUUGAAGAGUUUUAAUUGUGAUAGUCUACUCUAAACCUGGGCUAAUAUUUGUGGUGGGGAGAAUGGAAUGGGGAGAGGAGAGCAAACCGCCAAAAAAAAAAAUUAAAUGAACAGGUGUUUGGAAUAUGAAGACUGGAGUCUUAAUUUAAUCACUGAAUUUAAAAAAUACCUAAUUACAUUUGUAAAUACUACUUUUUAAAAUUUUUUUCUGAAUCAAAAUUGCUACACUUGCACAGAUUUUUUCUGUAUCAUCCAACACUUUAGAAAAUACUAUCUGGUACUUGAUCUUAGCAAGCUUUGUUGAGGAGGUUCAACUACCUUGAUGAUGAUACCUUGUCAGAAAAAAAUUAACUCUGUUGAUAUGAUCACAUGUGAAUGUACAUGAUCAUACCACUGUCUGUAGAUAUUUAUCUCAGUAUAAGAUCAUGUCAAACAUGAGUGGCUCUCUAAUUUUUUAAUACACAUCUGUCUUUCAGUUAUAUUACCACCAAUUCACAGUACCAUAUAUUAGAAGCAAGCUAACACAAAUUCAUGUCAGUGAGCGUACAUGGACAUUUCCUUAUGCUUAUCAUUUGUAUCCAGUAAAGUGUUAAUGAUUGUAUUUUGUGUUUGUGUAAUAAUGCUUUGAUUUAUUAGCUACUGAUUUUCAUUGAAAAAACUUGUAAAUAAAACAGUGGGCAGGCAAUGCA
ensembl:lncRNA CD24 molecule